AACGAACGCUGGCGGCAUGCCUAACACAUGCAAGUCGAACGAGACCUUCGGGUUUAGUGGCGCACGGGUGCGUAACGCGUGGGAACCUGCCCUUAGGUUCGGAAUAACUCCCCGAAAGGGGUGCUAAUACCGGAUAAUGUCUUCGGACCAAAGAUUUAUCGCCUUUGGAUGGGCCCGCGUUGGAUUAGCUAGUUGGUAGGGUAAAAGCCUACCAAGGCGACGAUCCAUAGCUGGUCUGAGAGGAUGAUCAGCCACACUGGGACUGAGACACGGCCCAGACUCCUACGGAGGGCAGCGGUGGGGAAUAUUAGACGAGGGGCGAAAGCCUGAUCCAGCAGUGCCGCGUGAGUGAUGAAGGCCUUAGGGUUGUGAAGCUCUUUUACCCGGGAUGAUAAUGACAGUACCGGGAGAAUAAGCACCGGCUAACUCCGUG
rnacentral:rRNA from 1 species